AGACAGUCGAAGUAGGUUUAUAAUACUACUACUCGUCUCGAAGUCUCUUCAUUGUGUGACACGUUGAUAGAAGGAAAUAAAACCACUAGCCAUGAAACUAUUACUUUUUAUUACAGCGAUCUUAUCAAUCGUUGCUUGGGCAAGUGCUAAAUCAAAACUCUUCUGUGAAUUAGCGUGCGAUUCUUUAUACAUUCCUGUCUGUGCCACUAAUGGACAGACAUAUAGAAACAGAUGCAUAUGUGACUGUCGCGGUGCAACAUUUGCCCACAAAGGCGUUUGCAAAGCUGAUGCAGAACCUAUUGUGGAUGAUUCAUCUACUGAGAGCUAGUAAGGAACUAGAAGAUUACAUUGUGAAGCAAAUAAAAUAUCAUUUUUAAAUUCGAAAGAAAAUAUACAAAUAAAUAAUUUGAA